rnacentral:pre_miRNA from 1 species
GGGGACCGUUGCACUGUAGGAGAAGGAGUAGCAGGUCUCACAGUGAACCGGUCUCUGU